GCUUAGAUUUUUUCCUACCUAUUUAUAGUUUUCCAAUUUCAUUUUCUGUUUGUUUCUGAUGUAAAAUUGUGUUUUUGUUUCAUUACCUUGUAUCUAACACACUUACUCAACAUAUUAAUUAAUUCUCAUAAUCUUUCCAUAAGUUCCUUGUGGUUUUCUAUAAACACAAUCAUGCCAUCUUUGAACAAAAUGAGUUUAUGUCUCAUUGUCUAAUAUUUUAAUUUUACAUAUGAUGUGAGGUUAUGAUCAAAGUUUCCUUUCAGAAUUCAAGUUUUCAACUGUUCCAGUGCAACUUAUUAAAAAGAUUAUUCAUUCCCCACUGAAUUUCCUUGGGACCUUUGUUCAAAAUCCAUUGACCAUAUGUACCUGGGUUUACUUCUGAACUCCUGUCCUGCUCUGGGGACCUCUGUGUCCAGGCCACCCUCCAAUGCCAUGGGGACCUCUGUGUCCAGGCCACCCUCCAAUGCCAUGGGGACCUCUGUGUCCAGGCCACCCUCCAAGGCCAGGCUGCCCCAAUGACGGUGGUCAUAGUUGGUCCAUCUGAGCUACACUGGAUCUGCUUAAACUGUUCAUUUCUUUUAUUCUAAGGAGAUUCUGCUGAUAUCUUCCUUCCUCCUGGGUAUCUGAUUAUAAUCAAUUAAGUGUCAACCAUUUUAGUAGAAAAAUCGAAGAGGUAAUUUUUCUUACUAAAGUGAGAUAAGAAGAAAGAAAGAAGUAACAUUUGCUCUGUAGGGCAUCUGCACAUUCUACUAAAACUUUGGGGUAAUCUUGGCCCAGUUCCAGAGACUGAGUUGGCUUAUGGGGAGCUGUGUUCACGGGGCGGACCAGCCUGGGGUCAUGUGGAUCUGGGCUCGGCCCCAAGCCCCUCACCAAUGCUCAGCCUCUGCGGCUCUACCGUUGGGAAACAGCCCCAGGGGAGGCUUGUCCCUGAGUGAGCACUCCCCACCGGGGCCCUGUUCUACAGCAUAUUCUGACUCAGCAGCCCCUUCCUUACUAUCAGCCCUCUCGCAUCUUCAAGGAUGUUUUCUUACAUCUUUUUCCAGACUUUCGGUUGUUUUCUGUUGGAGGGUGGUAUGGGGUUACUUGGUAGAGCAACACUCAAAGCCUUCCUUUUUAAACGAGUACAGACAGGUAGCAGUCAAGAUAAAAACCAAAAUAAAGAAAUCAAAAAAGCCCAGAGGAAACAAAUAAUCAGAGAAUACGGAUAAUUUCCAAAAAAUAUAAUGACUACCCUCCAAGAGAUGAUGGGACUAUGCAUUCAUGGAACAAGAACAGAUUGCUGAGAAUAAUUAUCCAAGUAUUAAGUGUGGGAGCUUGAUAAGGCUUGGCUCCGUGUCCGCACAAAAUCUCCUGUUGACUCUUAGUCCCCAGCGUUGGAGGUGGGGCCUGGCGGGAGGUGCUUGGAUCUCAGGGUGGAUUCUCAUGAAUGAGCUAGCACCAUCCCUUGGCACUGUCCUCGAGACAGUGAGUGCGUUCUCAUGAGAUCUGGUCAUUUAAAAGUGUGUGGCAGCUCCCACCUCGCUCUUGCUCCUGCUCUGACCCUGUGAGACGCCUGUUCCUGCUUUGCCUUCCACCAUGAUUGGAAGCUUCCCGAGGCCUCCCCAGAAGCAGAAGCUGCCAUGCUUCCUGUGAAGUCUGCAAAACUGUGAGCCAACUAAACCUCUUUUCUCUAUAAAUUACCCAGUCUGGGGUAUUUCUUUAUAGCAAUGUGAGACUGGAUUCAUACAGAGCUCUUCCUGAGAGAAAAAAGAAUGCGAAACACAGUGAGUGAUCAAAGGAUCAGGCAGGAAGUUCUAACAUUUGAGAAGGGCCUGGGAAGGCGGAGGUGGCAGACAGCAUGGGAGACAGUCAGCAAGAGGGCGGAAGACACGUCCCAGGCCCCGGCAACGGAGGGUCCCAGCGUGAGAGGACUCCCAAGGCUGGAGCUGGGUGAGAGGGGAAGAGAACCCUUUGAGGCAUCCUGGUGACUCCUUAGGGGAGGGGACCCUGUGCACUUCCAGAGAGAGAGAGGGGAUUUCCCAGCCCUCACACAUCUGAGGGCCUGGGGCGAGGGGGUGCUGCCGCAGUGGCACCGUUCCCCUCAGACUCGCUCAUCAGGACUUCAGCACUGCCCGUCCAUGGGGACGUCUGCACUCACAGUGUCCUCGGCACUGCCCUCCGUGGGGACGUCUGCACACACACUGUCCUCGGCACUGCCCGUCCAUGGGGACGUCUGCACUCACAGAAUGUCCUCGGCACUGCCCUCCGUAAAUGGGGACGUCUGCACUCACAGUGUCCUCGGCACUGCCCUCUGUAAAUGGGGACGUCUGCACACACACUGUCCUCGGCACUGCCCUCUGUGGGGACGUCUGCACUCACAGAAUGUCCUCGGCACUGCCCGUCCAUGGGGACGUCUGCACUCACAGUGUCCUCGGCACUGCCCUCCGUGGGGACGUCUGCACACACACUGUCCUCGGCACUGCCCUCCGUGGGGACGUCUGCACUCACAGUGUCCUCGGCACUGCCCGUCCAUGGGGACGUCUGCACUCACAGUGUCCUCGGCACUGCCCUCCGUGGGGACGUCUGCACACACACUGUCCUCGGCACUGCCCUCCGUGGGGACGUCUGCACUCACAGUGUCCUCGGCACUGCCCUCCGUAAAUGGGGACGUCUGCACUCACAGAAUGUCCUCGGCACUGCCCUCCGUGGGGACGUCUGCACUCACAGUGUCCUCGGCACUGCCCUCCGUGGGGACGUCUGCACUCACAGAAUGUCCUCGGCACUGCCCUCCGUGGGGACGUCUGCACUCACGGAAUGUCCUCGGCACUGCCCUCCGUGGGGACGUCUGCACUCACAGUGUCCUCGGCACUGCCCUCCGUGGGGACGUCUGCACUCACAGUGUCCUCGGCACUGCCCUCCGUGGGGACGUCUGCACUCACAGAAUGUCCUCGGCACUGCCCUCCAUGGGGACGUCUGCACUCACAGUGUCCUCGGCACUGCCCUCCGUGGGGACGUCUGCACUCACAGAAUGUCCUCGGCACUGCCCUCCGUGGGGACGUCUGCACUCACAGUGUCCUCGGCACUGCCCUCCGUGGGGACGUCUGCACUCACAGUGUCCUCGGCACUGCCCUCCGUGGGGACGUCUGCACUCACAGAAUGUCCUCGGCACUGCCCUCCGUGGGGACGUCUGCACUCACAGUGUCCUCGGCACUGCCCUCCGGGACGUCUGCACACAGUGUCUUUGGCCCAGCUCGGGUUAGGAGCACUCGCUCUGGAGGCCUGACUGUGCUUUUGUAAAUUUUCACAAACAGUCACUCAAUAGGUUUUAUUUUUUGUUUCCAAUGAUUCAAUGACCAAUUCUGCUAAAUUUCACACAGCCGAAACACUUGAGAAAAUUGGUAGUAAAGAACAUUUGGAAUCCCUGAGGAUUUUCAGAGUUGAGCGUGUGUGGUGGUUAGCUGUAUUCCUCCACUGGGCUGGGCCACGGUGCCCGGGUCUGAUGGGACAUUACUCUAGAGGCCUCUGGAAGGCGUUGGAUGGGUGGGCUGUGAGGAAAGAAGAUGAGCCUGCAUAGCGUGGGUGGGUCUCCUCCGAUCCGUUGAAGGCCUGACUAGAACAGAGAUAACACCCUGCACCAGGAAGGAACUCUGCGUCCGACGGCUUCAGACUAGACUGGCAGUGCUGGCUCUUCCCCGGGUCUCCAGCCGAGGGUCCACCCUGCAGACCUUGGACCUGCCGGCUUCCACGGUCACACAAGCCAAUUCCCUAAAGAUAAAUCUCUCUCUGUGUCUCCCUCUUUAACAAAAGGCCACCUUUAACCUUUAACAAAAGGCGACCUGCUGAGAAGUCCUUGUGCUCUGUGCUUUGAACUGGACAUCAACAAACAACAUGGCACUUAGUGUUUUUAAACUGACCAAGGGACAAGCCUGGAGCAGCCUCUUCCGGGGCCUCGAUUAACCAGGAGGAGGUGGCUGCUGUGCCCCAACCCAGGUGACAGAUUCGGGUGCCGGCACCUCCCCUGAGUCUCAGAGUCCAGGGAGUCACAAUUCUACAGGGACAACAGAAACACACAAAAGUGGGCAUAAAAUAAUCAUCGAUAGAAGGUUUGUCACUUUGAUGUCUCUGUGAACUGAUUUAAUGUGGUAUAGAAAGAUGGUCCCGUUACUUUAGAGGUGGUUAGAUAUCUCUGUAUAAUGCCUGUAUAUAAUAACUCUUACGUGAUAUAGAAAGAUGGUCCCAUUAUUUUAGGGGUAGUUAGAUAUCUCUGUAUAACACCUAUAUAUAAUAACUCCUAUAUGAUACAGAAAAAUGUUCUCAUUACUUUAGAGGUAGUUAGAUAUCUCCAUAUAAUGCCUGUAUAUAAUAACUCUUAUGUGAUAUAGAAAGAUGGUCUCAUUACUUUGGGAGUAGUUAUAAAUCUCCCUAUAAUGCCUGUAUAUAAUACUCAUAUGUGAUAUAAAAUGAUGGUCCCAUUACUUUAGGGGUACUUGGAAAUCUCUGUAUAAUGCCGACAUAUAAUUCUCAUGUGUGAUGUAGAAAGAUGGUCCCGUUACUUUAGGGGUAGUUACAGAUCUCUGUAGAGCUCCUGUGUGUAAUACCCAUAUACUAUGCCUCUGUUGAUUCAGAUAGAUCAAUUACUUCAUAGAAUGAAUCUGCGUGUCUAUUUUUAGGUGGAUGAGUUGCUAUGUUUUACCAUUACUAUUCUUGCUACAUUAGUUCAGCUUCUACAGGUAACCAAAUGAUUUUCAUUAUCGUAUAUUUAUAAUGUCUCAUCCAGUUAUUUUCUGGAAUGAGAGUACAAAUAAAUGUAUUUCUCAAGCUGAAAA